rnacentral:Y_RNA from 1 species
GGUUGGUCUGAGGGUAGUGGUGUUUACAACUAAUUGAUCACAAUGACUGAACUGUGACUUAGAUUUUCUCUUCUUCCCUCCUAUGUCUGACUCAGUCAUAA